rnacentral:lncRNA from 1 species
ACUGCAAAGGGCCCAGUGUCUUCAUGCUGCUCUCUGACUAAGCUCUUACCAGGCCCUGACCUCCUUCAAGCUACUGUAUUCUUCAAAUGACUUCAAUUUCUUUAGUUAUGGCUGCUCUUACUAGAUCUCAGGAACAGAGCAGUCUGAUUAAAGGCACUCACACUAAGGUCCAAAUAGAGAUCUCUCCCUAGAGAUCCUAGGUUUAAAAAUAAUUAUCAACACUUAAGUAAGCUAGGGUUGAUAAAAGUGGGGCAUGUUAGUUUAGAG